UCAACAUCGACACCUCGCAGUGAAGUUCGUCGAGGCACUUACACCGAGUUGUUGACAUCAGAUACUCCUCCUGAUGUUGGAGCUACAUUGGAUUGUGGUGUUGCUGCAACAGUAGCAAGUUCAGAAGCUUUGACAGAGGGCCUUGUCACUCCUGAACGUGAUCGUCCUCCCAUUGUGGAUGAACGGAGUGAUUAUAUGUUUGCAGUAAG